rnacentral:rRNA from 1 species
UACGUAGGAUGCAAGCGUUGUUCGGAAUUACUGGGCGUAAAGAGUACGUAGGCGGUUUGAAAAGUCUGAUAUUAAAGACUGGGGCUUAACUCCAGGAGUGUAUCAGAAACUUUCAGACUAGAGGACAAUAGAGGAAGUCGGAAUUCUCAGUGUAGCGGUGAAAUGCGUAGAUAUUGGGAAGAACACCAGUGGCGAAAGCGGACUUCUGGGUUGUUACUGACGCUGAGGUACGAAAGCGUGGGGAGCAAACGGG